CUACAUCAUAACUUUCAAAGGGUUAACCAAAUACCACAUAAGAACCAAUUAGAGUGUCCCCAUUACAACAAAGUCCCAUGUGACCCUAAGCCAUUCCUCUUUCUUUUGGUGUUGCUGAUGGACACUCCAAAAUUCCGCAAUGAAAAAUAACCAGUAGUCGUGUAGAGAAACAGUGAAUCCAGUAGAAGAUGACGUCGGACAAAAAAACCAACAAACCCUGAAGAAUAAACUGGUCAUCCUCCAUCCGCACACCUGCGGGUAUGCCUGGACCAUUAUGGCACUCCAAUUAGGAAGCUGUAAGACAGAGAAACGAGAUGGUAAAAUGUGUUCUUGGAUAAUAUUUUUCCACGUUCAUAUUCCAAAGCUAUCUAAAACACAAUCAUUCUCAUGUUAUUCACUCAAAUGGAAAAUAAAAUAACACAACACAUUAUCACACGGCUCAAGUCCCAUAACAUACAUUACAUUCCCAGAGGAGGGCAACUUACCUUUAGUGGGUGGGAUAAUACUCG